ensembl:lncRNA
CCCAGAUGAUGCAACAAAUUUUUAAAGCUCAGGCAUUCUUUGGAAUGCACUCCAAGGGCUAGGACUAUUGCUCUCAUUGCAUUACAAGGAAGUGUACCUAUGAAUCAGCCUUUGAAAUCACAUCACAUGUGGAACCAUCUCCAUCACUGAUUUGUAAAGUCAACUGUGGUCCUUGCCCUGCUAUACUAUCAUUAUUAUCAUUCAAGCCCAUCUGACAUUUUCUUCAUUAUUGUGCAUUUAUUGAGUGCCAGUGGGAUGCUACACCAAAGAAGCUGCUAAAAGUUGGAACCAAAGAAAUCUGCAGACUCUGUGUAUUUACCCAGGGAUCGCUUUCCUGAGGGUGAACUGUAACCAGCUUCUUUGCAGAAUGGAGCCAUCAUCGGGUGCCAGUAGCACUACAGUACAACGUUUAAAGGGGGAAAUGAAGGCUAGCUCCUCCGAAGGAAACUACAGGGGAAUUUUAGAGCAGCAGAAUGCAAUUAUCCAAGUUGGAAUUGUUCCAGGACACCAAAAGAGAACUCUAAAGAACCCAGCGCAUACCUGACAUAUGGAAGAUGCUCAAAAUAGUUCUUAUAAUAGAAGGGAGGGUGGGAGAGAAGAAGAAAGGGAGGGAGAAAGGAAGUACAGAAAAUCUUUAUUGCUUCUUAACUUCAUGACCAAUUGACUCUUUGAUGUAUAGUAAAGGACAGAUAUGAUAUAGUCAUUAAUUUCCAUCCUUACAAUAUCUUUGGGCAGCUCUAAAAUGAAAAACUAAAAGUAUAGAGACCAGUAUAGUCAUCUUCAAGAUUUUUGCCCCACACACAUUGCAAAUAUCUUCAUCUAUGAGAGACAGAAAGAGAGAGAGAGAGAAAGAGAAAAGAUUAAGAAAAGGAAAAAAAAAAAAGAUGACAUGAUUCUCAUGGGGAGGAAACAGGCAAAAGGAAUCCAUUUGGAAUGUAAAUUGGUGCGUAUAAUAUGCCUUGGGUUCUUUGGCCGAGAGGUGACAUGUAAAGUAAAUGCUUCAGCAAAAUUAUUUAAUAAUAGAAGUACUGUAUUUCUUCUACUCUGCACAAUUUACAGUAGAAUCAAAGGACUAUGCUUUUGCACAGCCCUUACAGGAAAAGUAAGACAUGGGCAAACAGAAAUAAAUUAAGUAUCUGCCAUUGAUUGUCAUGGAUAGCACCAGCUUAUUGAGUUCAUACUUUAUUAGUGUGCUAUAGCUUGGAUGAUGAUGGUCUUUUUAUUGUUUUUGUGGUAACUCUUUAUUUUAAGUAUCUUAUCAUUAUGAAUUCAUUUAGUAUUGAUUGCAAUAGCACUGAUCAUAAAGAAUUAAUUUGGCAUUACCAUGAAUGUCAUAUGCACUUAUAUAAGAGUUCGGCUGUAAUUCAAAAUUAAUUAAUAUGGUGAAGUAUUAUUGCUUUUGCAAUUUUGCAGUCUUUUUAAAUGUAGCUAAGGUAUUUUUCCCAGCAGGUAGAACCUAGCAGAAAAUCUACCCAAGGCAUUCUCCUUUGGAGGGCAAUUUCAUUUAGCAAUAAAUGGGAAAUCUACCUUAAAAAAAAAAUUCUUCAUGUUUUAAAACAUUUGAAAUUCCAGUCCCAGAAUUCAGAGUUAUCAAAAGACGAAAACCUUGAGUCGUAGAAAAAUGAUCAUGUCUGCUAGGUGUUCCUACUUGCUUGGCAAAGCCAGGGUGAGCAGCAUAACUGAGAGUUUACCUCUCUUCUCUAUCUUCUGUCUCUCACCAAGGAUGAUUUGUCCCUGUCAGAGUGAGGAGCCCCCAGCAAAGGAACUCCAUUUACUUAUAAUGAUAUUGAAUUACCAGAAGGUACAAUUCAGGACACGCUUCUAGCAAGCUGAGAUUGUUGAAUGUAGGUAUUCGUAAGAAUCCGGUGAGGUUCAGGGUCCAAAUUACAUGGCACGUGUCUGGAAUGCCUGUCUGUGGCCUCCAGUUGAAAUCCACUCCACUGCCUUCUGCUGCUCCCGCUGCUGCUCUGAACACAGUUAUGGUGGCAUGUGUAGACCUAUCAGGAUAUCACACUGCAGGUGGCUGACCCGACAUAUAUGUGGACUAGGCUGUCACUAACGGACUGCUACUACGAUACACCAAUGUCUUAAAAUACUCUCCUCCCUCCACCCCUCAGUGUUGAGAAAAUCUUUGCCUCUCAUUGUCCCUAUUAAAACACAAAUAUCAUUUAGAUCCAAUAGAAUAAUCCAUCUACCAGGGAUCCAUCAUUAGGCAAUCCAACACGUAGAAUCACUCCAAUUGAAUAAAAUAUUGGAGUUUUAAUGGAGAGGUGGGCUCUAAGGAACAAUCUGGAGCAUGGGAGACUGCCAAGAGAUGGACCCAUGUGGAAUGCCACUUUGGUAGGCACUAGAAUGCCACGGACCAUAGAAGUUACUGAGAAGAGGCAGAGGAGUGCAUAUAACUGAAAUGGAAUCUUGAAGACAAAUUUUGGCCAAGGACAGUUCAAGAUCAGCCAAAAAAGCAAGCACAAACCAGCCAGGGUGGCUUAGCCCAGGUGGAGUCAGGCUAGAGCAGCUGGGUGUUAGCAAACCCAUAGAGCCCUGGCAACGGCUGACAGCUCCCUGUUCUGGGUGGAGAUGCUAACCAAAACUGAAAUCAGAAUACAAAGUAGAAGGUCAGCAGCAAAAAUUGAUCUGGAGAAGGGCCCCAUGCCCCUAGUAACUUAGUUAACAUCUAGUCUGGCAGGAAGGGCCCUGGUCAGAGCCCAGAGCCAGGGCAGCAGAUAUGGGCAAGGCAGGACCAUCCAAAACUCAUGAUGCUUGUGGUGUGCCCAAAAGGAGGGAAGCUGUUACAAAGUGGGCUGAGGAUGCUGAUAUAAAGAGACCAGCCCAGAGUGAUCAGGGAUUUCUGGGAUAUUACUACAAAAUUUUUCUUAGGAUUUCUAAAUCUGCUUUACUAAAAACACUUUUAGUGAUACUAAAAAUUAGUUUUCUCUUGUCAAAUAUAUAGCACUUGUGGCCCCGUGGCCGAGUGGUUGAGUUCACGCGCUCCGCUGCAGGCAGCCCAGUGUUUUGUUGGUUUCGAAUCCUGGGCCCGGACAUGGCACUUCUCAUCAAGCCACGCUGGGGCAGCGUCCCACAUGCCACAACUAGAAGGACCCACAACGAGGAAUAUACAACUAUGUACUGGGGGGGGGGCUUUUGGGAGAAAAAGGAAAAAAUAAAAUCUUUAAAAAAAAUAUAUAUAUAUAUAUAUAUAUAAGCACUUGUAGCUUUCAAAGGGUCCCCGCAAGGAAACCCAAGCUCAGAGUGAAAGCCAGUUGCAAAUAGCUCCUCCAGGCUGCCAUCCCUCCCUGUCUAGCUCUCCCUUCUUCUAACUUCCACUGUGCUUUCUCUUGGGGAAAUCAUUAGAAAGAGGCCACGCCUUUCACAGGCCAAAACCUUUCUUAGAGUCAUGCAGAAAUGUUAUUAUCACCUUUGUCUUAGGUAGCAAACAGCAGAAGUUUUUUAGCUGGUAUAAACAGACAAAGAUUGCUCUAAUCCUUCUGUCUGAUACCAAAAAAGUAUAUAAAAGUCUAUUCCUCUUUCUAAUUAUUGAUAUUUUCUGUGUCAGUUAAUAACACACUGCAAAUCAAAUAAUACGGAGGCCAAGAGAAAAUUCUGAAGUCCAGAAUUUGCCCGUCCCACCAGAUUAGUUAAAAAUUUUAGGAAAAGGGAAGACUGAAGUGAACUCAAGUAAUUUGGUUCUUAAUACCUUAAAUGAGCACGUCCUUUGAUUAUGGGUGUUUGAAGGUGUCUUCAGUGGCAGUGAUGCUCUCCUUGCUGAAGAGCACAAAGUUCAGCACUUCAAAGCGCCUCUGCGAACAUAUGCGUUCAUCCUUAAAAAUUAGCAGAGGAUGUCGUGGAGGUUUUAAUAGCCACAAAUGUCUCUUAGCAUUUCCCUCCCUUAGGAAGACAAUAUCAGAGGGCUGGCAUCAAUUCCUUAAAAUCAUACUGGCAAAAGAUAAACAAAGCCCAAGAUAUAGAAAUAUAUUUUACACUAAAAAAAAAAAAGGGAAAAAAAACACACUGAAACCCAAUCCUCAUAUUUCUUGGCUCAGAGUAGCAGGCUGACUAGUUACCCAAAAUGAGCUUACUGCAAAAAUCACUCUGUUCUCACCACAGGCACAAUUUACCAACUGGGUGCAGCAGACACUGGGUUGGCUCCUGAACUUCUCUCCUCCAAUUAAGCUGCACAACCUGUUACCAUUUUGCCAAUGGACUCUAUUUACUUAGGUUCUGCGUAACUUGCCAAGUGCUCACUCUGUGGAAUUCCCAGCAAAGAGAAAGGAACAAUUGGGGGAAAUUUUUGUUAACAUCCUUCCUUUUAACUUUCCGUAGCAGAGGGGAACGCAUCAACGUGGAGCAGAUGUGCUGAGACCAAAUGCUCUCUUCCUCAUGAUUACAGUUGGUUAUACCUGUGGAUAGGCAAGCUAAUUCCACUGCAAAUAUGCAAGAGAGGGUAGUACUAACGUACAAUGUGUGGUCCUGGAGGCUUUGUUGCCAUGUAAUCAGGUGCUUCGUUUCACAAGACCUGGCACGUUGAGAAGAAAACUGAAGCAAAACGGCCCUGUGCAUUCGGAAUUGCAAGCUCUCACUGUACUGCUUAGAGAGUGCCCUAGUUCUCAGCAAUGUUGACAUAAAUGUCGUGGAAUUUCUUAUUUGGAGUUUAAAAGUAAUGAUUCUUUCUACUUAAUCUUCUCAGCAACUCUGUGCCCUAUUGUUUUCCACCAUUUGAAAAUGCCUGAGGAUGUCAUUACAACUACGUGUAUCAAUAUUAAACCUUUACAAACAGUUUA